UCAACAUUCUGAAGAACUCCAAUUCGAGGAGGAAGAGCUUGAAGAGCAAGGACACUGGAAAUCGCAGAUCCAUAAUUUUUUAAAGGUAUAAAACCUGAGUUUAAUCUAUAGAGAUUAGAGCCUUAAUGUUGAAGUAGUAAAGUAUUGGAGCACUGAUCUGAUGGCAAGCAUGGCAGCAUGGAGUUGCUAGUAUUAUAUAUGGCACUAUGGAGCUACAAAAUAUGUGGUCUUCGACAAAGGCAAGCACAGGAAAGCAUGGAGGAUGAAUUUUUGUAAAUUAUAUGGAAUGUUAGAUGUAAAACAUUUGUAUAUUAUGGCACUAUUUUUCUUUUGAA